rnacentral:lncRNA from 1 species
AGUCGUCGCUCUUCGUUCCAUAACCUCCAACGUCAUCGCUCUUCUUUCCAUAGCCUCCAAAUUCAUCGCUCUUUUUUUCCGAAUCGGUGCUGAACUCGUCGGAGGUUUUCCCGUAGCCUCCACCGCUGUAAUCGUCGGAUUUCUUGCCAUAUCCACUGGAGUAGUCAUCGGAUUUUCUCCCGUAGCCUUCACCUUCGUUGUCGUAGUCGUCAGAUUUCUUGCUGUAGCCGUCGGACUUUCUGCCGCCAUAACCACCACCUCCACUGCCGUAGUCGUCAGAUUUGGCCUUGUAUCCAUCCUCAUUGUCGUCGUAGUUGGAAGAAUUCUUGCUCCUUCCUCCUCCAUAGCCGCCGCUAUAGUUGUCCUCCCCUGUGGCUACGCCCUCGGUGUUGGAAUCGUCGUAGUUACUCCUCCUUCCCGUGUAAGACAUUGUCGCGAAACGCUGCGAAAUUACCACAAGAAUGGAUGUAAGUUGAGGACUGUAGAUCAGAGAAUGCAAGCGAAAGAAAUGCUUCAACUCACCAGAGAAACUUUCGAAACUUUCGAGAGAACUAUGCAAGAACUUUUCCUGGCCGAUAUAUCCGUGAGAAGCUCGAGGGCGUCGUUUUAUACUGAUAGAUUUGCCCGCGGAUCGACGAGUAAACUCCUACAGCCGGUUCCCACACACAGAGCAACCGACACCUGCAAGUUCCAGCAAGCAUAUCUCCACGAAAUGUAUACGCAUAUACCACCCGCGCGAUAAAAGCUUUACGAUGUCUCUCUCGUGCUCGUGAAGGCCACCAAACGGAGUAGUGAUUUUCUUAAAGGGGCCCGGCGAUGACCAAUUCAUCCACAUUCAUGCAUGGUAAAUCUCCACCGACGCAUCCAUCUGGGAUUAUUUUUCGCGUAGAAUAUAGAUCAUACUCUGCACGAACGAUACCAAACUUCCGCAAUGGGGUCGAGUUUAUCAUCCCUGAGCUUUAUCGUCCCUGAGUUUACUGUGCUGGACAAAGAUUCUUACCCAAAAUCUUGAGUAGAAAGGAUUCACCCUCUACACAGGAAACCUUGGCAAUCGAAUCAAUUCCAACAAGAUUGCACCCUCUCCUGCGAGGCCAAUCCAGCGUGAAAACAAGGAAAAGAUUCGUCGCUAGGAAGAAAUUUCUUCACCAGCCUUGUUUACUGCCGCGCACACGACUCCAAAUUCCAACCCGAAACACCAAAAGAAAUCCACGUGUUGCCAAGUGAACUCUUAUCUGUGUUUUCUCUCCAGAAAUAUUGGAGCGAACCAUCUUGAUCUUCCAUUUAUUCUCAUAGCAUAUAAACCAAAACCAUAGUCCUUUUUCUUUGACCUUUAUCGCCUUCUUUCUACAAAGUGGUGUGAUAGCUCCCUGGAAAGCGAAAUAUGUCCCAGAGCUUGAAAUCGUGGAGAUCUCUUAGCUAAACCAGUGCUUCUUCUUUGUGACUCCUUCUUCUUGAUCCUCCAGUUCUUCCACGCCGUCCUUGCGUUCCUCCUUCUCGUGGUGCUCGUAAAUCGCGUACCCGCCAGAUCCAGUCGCCACAGCAGCAGCAAUGCCGGCCUCGGUUUUGUGCCUUAUUCCAUGCUCGGGAUCCACUUUGGCCUCGUGAGCUUCAUACUGAAAGAACAAACCAUUGACCAUCUUCAAGAACAAGAAGAAGAAAAGCGUUUUCCUCUUACCGCGGCAUAAGCUCCAGCAACCACUCCUCCAACAAUGCCAAUUCUCUCGUGCCUCCUGUGCUCCUUGACGUCGUCCUCGGCAUCGUCCAGUUUCUCCUUCACCGAGAACUCUUCUUCUUCCUGGUUUUUCCUUGUAUAGUCACUCUCAUCGUCCUUUCGGACACCAUAUCCGGAACCUUGAUCGUAAUUGCCAUCCUCUUGUUUCUUACUCCGCCCACCAUAGCCAUCUCCUUGAGUGUAGUCUUCCUCCUCCGGUUUCUUCGUUCGGUCACCAUAGCUGCUCUUCUUUCCAUAGCCUCCAAAUUCAUCGUUCUUCUCUCCGUAGCCUCCAAAUUCAUUGCUCUUCUUUUCCGAAUCAUAGUUCUCGGUGCUGAACUCGUCGGAGGUUUUCCCGUAGCCUCCACCGCUGUAAUCGUCGGAUUUCUUGCCAUAUCCACUGGAGUAGUCAUCGGAUUUUCUCCCGUAGCCUUCACCUUCGUUGUCGUAGUCGCCAGAUUUCUUGCUGUAGC